UACGUAGGGUGCAAGCGUUGUCCGGAAUCAUUGGGCGUAAAGCGCGCGUAGGUGGUCAUGUAAGUCCGCUGUGAAAGUCAAAGGCUCAACCUUUGAAAGCCGGUGGAUACUGCAUGACUAGAGUACGGAAGAGGCGAGUGGAAUUCCUGGUGUAGCGGUGGAAUGCGCAGAUAUCAGGAGGAACACCAAUAGCGAAGGCAGCUCGCUGGGACGGUACUGACGCUGAGGCGCGAAAGCGUGGGGAGCGAACAGG
rnacentral:rRNA from 1 species